UACGGGGGGGAGCAAGCGUUGUUCGGAUUUACUGGGCGUAAAGCGUGCGCAGGCGGCCAUCCAAGUCAGUGGUGAAAGCCCGGAGCUCAACUCCGGAAUUGCCAUUGAAACUGUUUGGCUCGAGUACGAGAGAGGUGAGUGGAAUUCCCAGUGUAGAGGUGAAAUUCGUAGAUAUUGGGAAGAACACCGGUGGCGAAGGCGGCUCACUGGCUCGUAACUGACGCUCAUGCACGACAGCGUGGGGAUCAAACAGG
rnacentral:rRNA from 1 species